GUCGCAGCGCUGCCUAUACUGCAGUCGAGCGGAUUGAUGGGAGCUUGCUCCCAUCAGUCAGCGGCGGACGGGUGAGUAACACGUGGGUAACCUGCCUGUAAGACUGGGAUAACUCCGGGAAACCGGGGCUAAUACCGGAUAACUCAUUUCCUCGCAUGAGGAAAUGUUGAAAGAUGGCUUCUUGCUAUCACUUACAGAUGGACCCGCGGCGCAUUAGCUAGUUGGUGAGGUAACGGCUCACCAAGGCGACAAUGCGUAGCCGACCUGAGAGGGUGAUCGGCCACACUGGGACUGAGACACGGCCCAGACUCCUACGGGAGGCAGCAGUAGGGAAUCUUCCGCAAUGGACGAAAGUCUGACGGAGCAACGCCGCGUGAGUGAUGAAGGUUUUCGGAUCGUAAAACUCUGUUGUUAGGGAAGAACAAGUACCGUUCGAAUAGGGCGGUACCUUGACGGUACCUAACCAGAAAGCCACGGCUAACUACGUGCCAGCAGCCGCGGUAAUACGUAGGUGGCAAGCGUUGUCCGGAAUUAUUGGGCGUAAAGCGCGCGCAGGUGGUUUCUUAAGUCUGAUGUGAAAGCCCACGGCUCAACCGUGGAGGGUCAUUGGAAACUGGGGAACUUGAGUGCAGAAGAGGAAAGUGGAAUUCCAAGUGUAGCGGUGAAAUGCGUAGAUAUUUGGAGGAACACCAGUGGCGAAGGCGACUUUCUGGUCUGUAACUGACCUGAGGCCAAAGCUGGGGGGGAAAAAAAAAAAAAAGAACAAAG
rnacentral:rRNA from 1 species